rnacentral:lncRNA from 1 species
UUGAGCACACGCCCCCUUUAUUAUAAACUGCCCCAAACCCUCUUAAGAAGGAGGUGGCUAGUCCCCUGAGAGUGCGGCUCACUUUGGGGUGCAGGAAACCGAGGGAGCCUAGACCUGUUCCAUUUCAAAGGCUCACUCUGGGGGCCUGAGUGAGGAAUUGGCUACAUGUGGUUGGGAGACAUCAAAGGACCCAGGACCCCUGUGACCAGAGAAAAGGGGUCUAGGGCGCCUUCACACCAGGGUAUUAGAAAUGCUACGUUAAGGGCAAUAUGCAAUAAACGGGGGACUGGCGCGGCAGGGUUCAGGCACUCUGAGUCGGGCUGAGGCUUCAGAGCCUGCCCCGCAAAGGCACGGCUGCAGAACGUGGCAAGCCUGCCGGGCCCUGCCUUUGUAACUGCGCCUCCCCUCCCCCUGUCUCACUGUUCCCAUGCCGCGUUACUGUGAGAUCCUGUGUGCUACUGUGUGCACAGCCCUCUGCAGUUCACAGUGGCCUUUCCACGUCCCUUUUCCGGUUGAAUUCGCCUGACUGACAGGGAGGCGGGACAGGGCUGGUCUGCACGCUAUGAAGAUGUAGUAGUGCACCCGGUACCCACGCAUGAAGAACUCCUCGGCUGACUCCAGGAAGGACUGGAUGAAAUGAGUG